rnacentral:rRNA from 1 species
GACGAACGCUGGCGGCGCGCUUAACACAUGCAAGUCGAACGGAAAGGCCUGCUUUCCCUUGUGGAUUGCGGGUACUCGAGUGGCGAACGGGUGAGUAACACGUGAGUGAUCUGCCCCCAACUUGGGUAUAAGCCUGGGAAACUGGGUCUAAUUCCCGAUAGGACUGCAGGGUGGUGCCUGUGGUGGAAAACGAUUUUCUAGUGGUUGGGGAUGAGCUCGCGGCCUAUCAGCUUGUUGGUGGGGUAAUGGCCUACCAAGGCGGCGACGGGUAGCCGGCCUGAGAGGGUGGACGGCCACAUUGGGACUGAGAUACGGCCCAGACUCCUACGGGAGGCAGCAGUGGGGAAGAGUGCACGAUGGGCGGAAGCCUGAUGCAGCGACGCCGCGUGGGGGAUGACGGCCUGCGGGUUGUAAACUCCUUUCGGCCGCGAGGAAGCCACCUGGUUGGAAGGGUGGUGACGGUAGUGGUAGAAGAAGCACCGGCUAACUACGUG